CCCUCCCUCACUCCUCUCCAGCCGCCGGACUGCUCCUCACACACAGCCUGUGCACUUGGCCUGUGUCCGGUUGCACUGGUGCCCCCUCGCCUGGCACUCUCAUCCUUGGCUGGCUACCUGGCGCACUCCCACUUCCUGCCCACUGAGAGCUCAGCAACUCGGUGGAGCCCACCUGCCUUCCUAUGUGUAUUCAGUUCCUGCUUCCCACAAACUUAGCUGCUUAAAACAACACCUGUUUGUUACCUGAGUUCCUGUGGGACAGGCAUCCUGGCGUCCAGGCAUGGCUCAGCUGUCCUCUGCUUGGUCGUGCCAGGCUGCAGUCAGGUGUCAGCCGGCUGCGUUCUCAGCUGGAGGCUCAAAUGUGGAAGAAUCCGCUUCCACACUCCCCUGCUUGUUGGCAGGAUGCAUUUCCUGGGGGCUGUGCUACUGAGGGCCUGCUUCUUAUUGGCCAUUGGCUAGAGGCUGGCCUUGCGUCCUAGUCGCCCCCCCAUUCCCUGCCACGAGGCCCCCUCCAUGGGCAGUUCCCAACAUGGCUGCUUGCUUCUUCAGGGCCAGCAAGAGAGCCUCUCUCCCCGGUCUGCUCAGAUGGAGUCUCAUAGAAGGCAGCCUAACCACGGGAGUGACCUCCUGUCACCAACACACAACGUGACCUAACUGCAGGACUGACAUCCUGUCACCUCUGCCAUAUUGUGGUUUUGAAACAAGUCACCGGUGCCGCCUGCAUUUGGGGAGGGCAGCAGUCUCUGUAACACCACAGUUGGUCUAUUCCCCCACCUCUGGACUCCCCCGCCCUGCCCUGCAGUUUUUUUUCAUAGCACAUUCCAGUCUCUGACAUACUAUGUCAUCUCCUUAUUAGUAUGUUUACCAGGCUCAGGCACGCCUCGGAGGGCGAGGGAAGCGGGGCUCCAGACCGACGCAAUGAGGUGCCACCCAAGAGCUGGUGAAGCAAUACGUGGGGCUGAGCCUAGUGAGGCAUAAUUUUAGAGGCUUCCCUGUGAUCCUAACGGUCAGUCAGGUUUCCGGGGCAGCAGACGGCAGGCCCCCUCUGGCGCAGUGGCGCUCAGCCCAAGCUGUUCAUCUGAAACACCGCAGAGCUUAAGAGACUGCUACCCAGACCCCACCUCGUGGCGGGGGGGGGGGGAGUGGACCCCUAACAUUGGUAUGAUUUGAAAGUGCCCCUAGAUGAUUCUUCUGGGCAUCCGGGGUCCAGAACUGCUGCUCCAGAGCACAGUCGUGGGGACUCACACAGGGGCUCAGUGAAGCUUCGGACGCGGAGCAAGGAGGAGACCCAAGAGUCAGGCCAUCAGGUUUCAUAUUCUUCCAAGAAACAUUGAUUCCUUACCUGUGGGCAUGUUCCUCAAUUAUGGGUCACACCCAUUUACCCGGAAGAGCUAACCUCUGGCCCCUUGAGCCUACAGUUUGUGACAAGGUGGGCGGUAAGUAGGCUCCUUCCCCAGGCUCAUCUGCUGACAGGCUUAAUAUAUAUAUAUUUAGUUUUAACUAGGCUCCACACCCAGCACGGAGCCCAACGUGGGGCCUGAACUCACGACCCGAGCUGAGAUCAAGAAUCGGACGCCCACCGGCUGCACCAUGCAGGUGCCCCACCGCCAGGCUUCUGGGAGCAUAAGUUCACUGUCAGGCCCGGCCUGGGCCCAGAGGCUGUGCGGCGCCUGCGAGGCUUCACUUGGUGACUGUAGGGUUGUGUGACGCGUGGACGGAAGGCUUUCCUGCAGCUGUCACCUUCAAGGCUUGCUCAUCAGUGAAUGCUCCCAGGAGUGUCCUCUGAGGCUGAAAGGCCUGAGUGUCAGGUGACACUGAACCACAUGGGACCCCUCACCAGCUCUCAGAUGGGAGCCCAUGAUUCCUCUCCUUCUGGAAGGUUCCAGGCGACACCAGCAGAGCCGACGCACUGCCCAGGAGGCCUGUCCAGAGGAGCGGCUCUGGCGUCUGUAGGACAGACUUCGGGGGAACCACGGGGUCAAAGGAUUCCUGCGGAGGCUGAACAUUUUUGCUGCUUUGAUGAUGGACAGCUGUGUCAGGCUCCAGCACCCCCAAAUGCCACAACCUCCCGAGGGCGGGGG